AUUGAACGCUGGCGGCAGGCUUAACACAUGCAAGUCGAGCGGAGUGAUGGUGCUUGCACUAUCACUUAGCGGCGGACGGGUGAGUAAUGCUUAGGAAUCUGCCAUUUAGUGGGGGACAACAUUCCGAAAGGAAUGCUAAUACCGCAUACGUCCUACGGGAGAAAGCAGGGGAUCUUCGGACCUUGCGCUAAAUGAUGAGCCUAAGUCGGAUUAGCUAGUUGGUGGGGUAAAGGCCUACCAAGGCGACGAUCUGUAGCGGGUCUGAGAGGAUGAUCCGCCACACUGGGACUGAGACACGGCCCAGACUCCUACGGGAGGCAGCAGUGGGGAAUAUUGGACAAUGGGCGGAAGCCUGAUCCAGCCAUGCCGCGUGUGUGAAGAAGGCCUUUUGGUUGUAAAGCACUUUAAGCGAGGAGGAGGCUACUAGUACUAAUACUACUGGAUAGUGGACGUUACUCGCAGAAUAAGCACCGGCUAACUCUGUGCCAGCAGCCGCAGUAACAC
rnacentral:rRNA from 1 species